rnacentral:rRNA from 1 species
AGCGAACGCUGGCGGCAGGCCUAAUACAUGCAAGUCGAACGAACCUUUCGGGGUUAGUGGCGGAUGGGGGAGUAACACGUCGGAACGUUCCUUUAUGGUCGGAAUAACUCAGGGAAACUUGUGCUAAUACCGAAUGUGCCCUUCGGGGGAAAGAUUCAUCGUCUUUAGAGCGUCCCGCGUCUGAUUAGCUAGUUGUAUGAGUUAAUGGCUCACCAAGGCGACGAUCAGUAGCUGGUCUGAGAGAAUGAUCAGCCACAUUGGGACUGGGACACGGCCCAGACUCCUACGGGAGGCAGCAGUGGGGAAUCUUGCGAAAUGGGCGGAAGCCUGACGCAGCCAUGCCGCGUGAAUGAUGAAGGUAUUAGGGUUGUAAAAUUCUUUCAACGGGGACGAUAAUGACGGUACCCGGAGAAGAAGCCCCGGCUAACUUCGUG